rnacentral:misc_RNA from 1 species
GAUGAAGAACGUAGCGAAAUGCGAUAAGUAAUGUGAAUUGCAGAAUUCAGUGAAUCAUCGAAUCUUUGAACGCACAUUGCGCCCGCCAGUAUUCUGGCGGGCAUGCCUGUCCGAGCGUCAUUUCAACCCUCAAGCCCCCGGGCUUGGUGUUGGAGAUCGGCGAGCCCCCCGGGGCGCGCCGUCUCCCAAAUAUAGUGGCGGUCCCGCUGUAGCUUCCUCUGCGUAGUAGCACACCUCGCACUGGGAAACAGCGUGGCCACGCCGUAAAACCCCCCACUUCUGAAAGGUUGACCUCGGAUCAGGUAGGAAUACCCGCUGAACUUAAGCAUACAAUAAGCGGAGGA